AUGAACGCUGGCGGCGUGCCUCAUACCUGCAAGUCGAGCGCACAGACGAGGAGCUUGCUCCUCUGACGUUAGCGGCGGACGGGUGAGUAACACGUGGAUAACCUACCUAUAAGACUGGGAUAACUUCGGGAAACCGGAGCUAAUACCGGAUAAUAUAUUGAACCGCAUGGUUCAAUAGUGAAAGACGGUUUUGCUGUCACUUAUAGAUGGAUCCGCGCCGCAUUAGCUAGUUGGUAAGGUAACGGCUUACCAAGGCAACGAUGCGUAGCCGACCUGAGAGGGUGAUCGGCCACACUGGAACUGAGACACGGUCCAGACUCCUACGGGAGGCAGCAGUAGGGAAUCUUCCGCAAUGGGCGAAAGCUUGACGGAGCAACGCCGCGUGAGUGAUGAAGGUCUUCGGAUCGUAAAACUCUGUUAUUAGGGAAGAACAAAUGUGUAAGUAACUAUGCACGUCUUGACGGUACCUAAUCAGAAAGCCACGGCUAACUACGUG
rnacentral:rRNA from 1 species